UACGAAGGUGGCAAGCGUUAUUCGGAUUUACUGGGCGUACAGGGAGCGUAGGCGGUUUGGUAAGCCCUCUGUGAAAUCUCCAGGCUUAACCUGGAAAAGUCGGAGGGGACUGCUGGGCUAGAGGACGGGAGAGGAGCGCGGAAUUCCCGGUGUAGCGGUGAAAUGCGUAGAGAUCGGGAGGAAGGCCGGUGGCGAAGGCGGCGCUCUGGAACGUUUCUGACGCUGAGGUGCGAAAGCGUGGGUAGCAAACAGG
rnacentral:rRNA from 2 species